rnacentral:tRNA from 1 species
UAUGUAAAAGUGUUUCACAUAAGAUUUUGAUUCUUAAAAUUCUAUUAGUUUAGAUUACAUAA